CCUAAAUCAGCCCUUGGAAGAGUCUAGAAAGGACGUGACUGCCCCAUUGUGGGAGUGAGGGAGUGUUUGCUGAAGCCUCUACUUUCACUGUGGUAAACUGGUGGUAGCAGCUCUUAACCAUUCGCUCUCAGUGGAACAUCCUGUUUGAAAUGGUCGACACCACCGAGCUGGUUUUGGAGAUCCUUAUGUGUUCUGAACAGGCUUCAUAUUUUAGCCCUUUAUCUGGAGAAGCUGUGGACAGGCUGGCAAACUGACAGGCCUUUAAUAUGAUGCUGAUACCAUAUUAAAAACAUUCACUAAUUGAUCCUAAUUGUCACACUAGGAAAGGAGAGAGUGAGGAAAAUGUGUUGAGUGUAAAGUUGUCAGUCGGGGAAUAACACAGGGCUGUGAAUGAGCCCCGUCACUGUGAUCAGGCUCCUCCUUCUAAUCCACCAACUUAGUGUUGAUGAAGACUAAACAGAGAGAUCACAGCCUUCUUUAUACUUGCUGGAGCUCACAGUUCCUCAACACUGCAGAUAUGACGCCUCUGUUCAUCUCAGUGUUGCUGGCUGCUGUGUGCCUUGAAUGCAGAGCACAAAAAGACAACGUGCUGCAACCAGAAGGAGACGUGACUGCUGCUGAAGGAGAGACAGUAACACUUGGCUGUCUAUAUAACAGCAGUUCAUCAAAUGAUUAUCUCUUCUGGUACAAACAGGAUGGAAACAACAGCCCUGAAUUCAUACUGAGCCGCUUUAAGAUCGGCGAGGGGAAAAUAGAGGACGAGUACAAGGAGAGAUUUUCAUCCACACUGGAUUCCACCUCAAGAUCAGUUCCUCUGAAGAUCCAGAAGCUUCAGCUGUCUGACUCUGCUGUGUACUACUGUGCUGUGAAGCCCACAGUGACAGGAAACACCAAAACUCUGUACAAAAACCUUUGGAGCAAAGACAACAGAAUACUCUGCAACGUCCACUAGAGGGAGUCUCACACUGUUAAACUUUCAGAGAGAAUCACACAACAAAUACUU